rnacentral:rRNA from 1 species
GACGAACGCUGGCGGCGUGCUUAACACAUGCAAUUCGAACGGAAAGGCCCUGCUUUUGUGGGGUGCUCGUGUGGCGAACGGGUGAGUAACACGUGAGUAACCUGCCCUUUACUUUGGGAUAACUUCAGGAAACUGGGGCUAAUACCGGAUAGGAGUUCCUGCUGCAUGGUGGGGGUUGGAAAGUUUCGGCGGUUGGGGAUGGACUCGUGGCUUAUCAGCUUGUUGGUGGGGUAGUGGCUUACCAAGGCUGUGACGGGUAGCCGGCCUGGGAGGGUGACCGGCCACAUUGGGCCUGAGAGAGGGCCCAGUCUCCUACCGGAGGCAGUAGUGGGGAAUAUUGCACAGUGGGCGGAAGCCUGAUGCAGCAACGCCGCGUGCGGGAUGACGGCCUUCGGGUUAUAAACCGCUUUCGCAUGUGACGAAGCGUGAGUGACGGUAAUGGGUAAAGAAGCACCGGCUAACUACGUG